rnacentral:sRNA from 1 species
GUAGUUUAGGUUGAGACCGAUAUUUAAUUUUAU